rnacentral:rRNA from 1 species
GUGCCAGCAGCCGCGGUAAUACCGGCAGCCCGAGUGAUGGCCGAUCUUAUUGGGCCUAAAGCGUCCGUAGCUGGCUGCGCAAGUCCGUCGGGAAAUCCACUCGCCCGACGAGUGGGCGUCCGACGGAAACUGCACAGCUUGGGACCGGAAGGCUCGAAGGGUACGUUCGGGGUAGGAGUGAAAUCCCAUAAUCCCGCACGGACCACCGAUGGCGAAAGCACUUCGAGAAAACGGAUCCGACGGUCAGGGACGAAAGCUUGGGUCUCGAACCGGAUUAGAUACCCUUGUAGUCC